ensembl:snRNA U7 U7 small nuclear RNA
AAAUGUCCUCUUUUAGUAUAUGUCCAGUAGGUUUCCUCAAGGAGGAAGACCCAG